rnacentral:rRNA from 1 species
AGCGAACGCUGGCGGCAGGCCUAACACAUGCAAGUCGAACGGAACCUUCGGGAUUAGUGGCGGACGGGUGAGGAACACGGGGGAACGUGCCCGUUGGUACGGAACACCUCAGGGAAACGUGAGCUAAUACAGGAAGUGCCCUUCGGGGGCAAGAUUUAUCGCCAUUGGAGCGGCCCGCGUCUGAUUAGCUGGUUGGGGAGGUAACGGCCCACCAAGGAGACGAUCAGUAGCUGGUCUGAGAGGAUGGUCCGCCACACUUGGACUGAGACACGGCCCAGACUCCUACGCGAUGCAGCAGUGCGUAAUCUUGCCCUAUCGGCUAAAGCCUGACGCACCCCUGCCGCGUGAAUGAUGUUGUUCUUAGGAUUGUAAAAUUCUUUCAGCGGGGACGAUACUGACGGUACCCGCAGAAGAAGCUCCGGCUAACUUCGUG